UACGUAGGGUCCGAGCGUUGUCCGGAAUUAUUGGGCGUAAAGGGCUCGUAGGCGGUCUGUUGCGUCGGGAGUGAAAACUCAGGGCUUAACCCUGAGCCUGCUUCCGAUACGGGCAGACUAGAGGUAUGCAGGGGAGACGGAAUUCCUGGUGUAGCGGUGAAAUGCGCAGAUAUCAGGAGGAACACCGGUGGCGAAGGCGGUUCUCUGGGCAGUAACUGACGCUGAGGAGCGAAAGCGUGGGGAGCGAACAGG
rnacentral:rRNA from 1 species